UACGGGGGGAGCAAGCGUUGUUCGGAUUUACUGGGCGUAAAGGGCGCGUAGGCGGUCAGCACAAGUCAGUUGUGAAAUCUCGGGGCUUAACUCCGAAACUGCAUUCGAUACUGCCGUGCUUGAGGACUGGAGAGGAGACUGGAAUUUACGGUGUAGCGGUGAAAUGCGUAGAUAUCGUAAGGAAGACCAGUGGCGAAGGCGGGUCUCUGGACAGUUCCUGACGCUGAGGCACGAAGGCCAGGGAGGCAAACGGG
rnacentral:rRNA from 1 species